rnacentral:rRNA from 1 species
UCUGUGAACCAACACUGUUGCUUCGGGGGCUCCCCUGCCCUUUGGGCUCGGGGCCCCCGGAGGAAAUCAAAAUCUGCAUCUCUGCGUCGGAGUAUCAAUCAAAUUGAACAAAACUUUCAACAACGGAUCUCUUGGUUCUGGCAUCGAUGAAGAACGCAGCGAAAUGCGAUAAGUAAUGUGAAUUGCAGAAUUCAGUGAAUCAUCGAAUCUUUGAACGCACAUUGCGCCCCGUGGUAUUCCGCGGGGCAUGCCUGUUCGAGCGUCAUUUCACCACUCAAGCCUCGCUUGGUAUUGGGCGUCGCGGCUCCGCGCGCCUCAAAGUCUCCGGCUGAGCUGUCCGUCUCCCAGCGUUGUGACACACGAUCGCUCCGAGUUCGAACAGUCGCGGCCGUUAAACUUAUCUUAAAGGUUGACCUCGGAUCAGGUAGGGAUACCCGCUGAACUUAAGCAUAUCAU